rnacentral:rRNA from 1 species
UACGAGGGGGGCAAGUGUUGUUCGGAAUCACUGGGCGUAAAGGGUGCGCAGGCGGUCGGGUGUGUCAGAUGUGAAAUCCCGAGGCUCAACCUCGGAACUGCGUCUGAAACUACUCGACUAGAGUACUGGAGAGGGUAACGGAAUUCACGGUGUAGCAGUGAAAUGCGUAGAUAUCGUGAGGAACACCAGAGGCGAAGGCGGUUACCUGGACAGUUACUGACGCUCAGGCACGAAAGCAUGGGGAGCAAAAGGG